AUCAUUAUUCUUUCGUAGUCUAUGUGCAAAUUUGGUUAAAGCGGAAGGUGGUUCCAUCAUUUACCACAGAAUGUUAUUGCUCAACAGUCAUGUUCCUAAAAAUAAAAUAGUGCAGUAUAUGUCCUAGUACCUUUGGUCAGGACUCUGAAGAGAAGGUAUCCAGGUGAUGGUUUUGUUUUCAUGAUUCUCUGUUACCAUUUGUUUCUAUUACCUGACACAAUAUGCACUUUAGAAUAGCUUUCUGCGACAACCUGCAGUCAGCCCUGUCUAUUUGUUAUACACUUAUCUAUGUUACCUUAUCUAGUUAUCUUAAAUGUUGGAAUUGAUACAUAGCAGCUGUUACCGUGCCAGUCUAAAUGCAUGCUUUGUCUUCUUCGUGUCGGAUGAAGUUUCCAGCAUAGAUGCAGUUUCUACUCUAAGCUUGGCUUCUCGCUCGAGCCAAGUGGUCAAUCAACAAUACUACAACUUAUCCUCAGGUACUAGAAGUUCUUCAAAGUCAAAUGUAAACCUUUCUGCGAGUGCUAAGAACCUGCCAAGGUAAUUACUACCUUGUAUCCACCAACCAAGUUAUGUACUAGAGAAGCACAGCGGAACCCGAUUCAAUAACAGUGAAGUAAAAGCAAGUCGAACCCCCACUGCCAAUAAGAGGUCUGAAGUAACCAUGCAGUCAGCCAAAAAACCUGGAAGCUCAGUCUUUGCUUCAAUUAAUAUGAAGAAAAUGCACGUUAAGCCUGUUCUGAGUGGAAGGUACCACACUGUUAAUUAACUCCUGAAAAUCUUGACCCCCUUUCUACAACCUACCAUUGGAAUUGACUUUUUGUCGUACAUGAAAUUGUUCUGUCCAGGCCCCAAUUCAUCAAAGGUACAUAACUAAAUAUCUGAACUAAUUUGUUCUUGUGCUCUUGCACACAAGUAAUAUGUGGGUCAGUGGGUGUUUAAGUUUCUGUUCUCGUGGUACUAACUACUCCAAGUUGCAAUUUAUGAACUGUGUAGGAAGAUAAAAUAGUUGCUGUGCCUGCGGCUACUAAGGUAACAAAAACUGAGGAGUUACAAUCUCACUUGGCAUGGCAAUUCAAGCCUCAUUACCCGCUGAGGAAUGUGAUGAAACAAAAAAGGUUAUAGAUAUUAUAUCAUCUGAAAUGCAAGAAUUAGUACCUUGCAGCAUGCAAGAACUGAUAUCAAGUAGUGUGCAGGUAGAGGACUAUUCCUUGUCAGAUUUGCAUGCAGGGAAUUCAUGUACUACCUUGGGCGAGACGUGCUCAUCAGAUGUAGCCA